ACUCCUACGGGAGGCAGCAGUGGGGAAUAUUGCACAAUGGGCGCAAGCCUGAUGCAGCCAUGCCGCGUGUAUGAAGAAGGCCUUCGGGUUGUAAAGUACUUUCAGCAGUGAGGAAGGUGGAUAUGUUAAUAGCAUAUUCAUUUGACGUUAGCUGCAGAAGAAGCACCGGCUAACUCCGUGCCAGCAGCCGCGGUAAUACGGAGGGUGCGAGCGUUAAUCGGAAUUACUGGGCGUAAAGCGCAUGCAGGUGGUUUGUUAAGUCAGAUGUGAAAGCCCGGGGCUCAACCUCGGAAUUGCAUUUGAAACUGGCAAACUAGAGUACUGUAGAGGGGGGUAGAAUUUCAGGUGUAGCGGUGAAAUGCGUAGAGAUCUGAAGGAAUACCGGUGGCGAAGGCGGCCCCCUGGACAGAUACUGACACUCAGAUGCGAAAGCGUGGGGAGCAAACAGGAUUAGAUAACCUGGUAGGCUCUGC
rnacentral:rRNA from 1 species